UACGGGGGGUGCAAGCGUUGUUCGGAAUUACUGGGCGUAAAGGGCUCGUAGGUGGCCAACUAAGUCAGACGUGAAAUCCCCAGGCUCAACUUGGGAACUGCGUCUGAUACUGGAUGGCUUGAAUUCGGGAGAGGGAUGCAGAAUUCCAGGUGUAGCGGUGAAAUGCGUAGAUAUCUGGAGGAAUACCGGUGGCGAAGGCGGCAUCCUGGACCGAUAUUGACACUCAGUGAGCGAAAGCCAGGGGAGCAAACGGG
rnacentral:rRNA from 1 species